AGUCGUUAGAAGCACUUGAACAUUUGACGGUUGGUGGAGAAGGUUCAAGGUUGUCUAAGUUUUGUAAAGAAAUCAGUGGUCUGAUAUCGUCGUUGCUAUAACUUUCUAAACACCUUUAUCAUAACAAGCAAGCUAGAAAAUGUCAACAGUGAAAAGAAUAAUUUUGGUUCUAUUCAUCGUAAUGGCCACUUCAUCAAGCAAAGGUUUUUCAUCUCAAAAAUGUUACAAAAAGUGUGCAAGUAUUAACUCACAGUGCUAUAAUAGUUGUACCUACGAAGGUAAAAUUCGUUGUAUUGAUUGCUUUCGGAGUCGAUCGAAUUGCUAUGAUAAUUGCGAGAAAACAAUUCACAAAAGACAAAAAGAAUUGGCAAAAAAAAAUAUCGACUUGGACAAAUUGCACGUAAUAAAUGCAUAAACGAACAUAAUUUUUUCAAGACAGCGAACAAUAGCACUUUAGUUGGUAAUUUUUCUACUAUUGACGAAGGAAAUAGACAAGUUCAGAAGGAACAGUAUUUUGAGAAUUUAAUAUGAAGAUAUUUCACUUGGUUUAUGUUAUUUUACAUAAGUUAAUAAAUGGAUUCAAUUAAUGUAA